GGUUGCCGAGGAGGAGGAAGUGGUGCAUGCUGCUCAUCCCUGAAAGAACGUCAUGGGUCAGAGUAGAAUUUCAUUCAUCAUUCCACCAUGGGAUCUCCUUAAAUCGAUCUCUAACGGUGGGUUCUUCUUGAUGAGGAUGCUUGAGAUGGUGGGCCAACUGCUUCUUGGUUACCAUAGGGGAUAUUAGGAACCACCAAGAAUAGUUAUGAGUGGAAAGGAUUUGGUGGAGAGGGAGGAUGAAGGCUUAGAGAGG
rnacentral:lncRNA from 1 species